AAAUCUUUGCAAGAUUACCACAGUUUUGAAAAUUGUUUGACCAAUUCAGCCUUACCUCUACCUGAAACAGAAUUCCAUACAAAAAGACAUCACAAUUCUGAAUAAGCUUCAGGUUUCCUUCAAAUAUGAUCCAACAAACGAGGGAUUUCUCAAGGACAUCACGGCAACAACAACAACAACAAAAAAAGGAAAAAGAAAAAAACAAAAAGAAAAAAGAAAAAAAGAAAAUAUAGAGAAGGCCCUAAAAGAACAGGAACAGGUGAUAUGAAGCUUCCUACCCCAUGUCACUUUGACAUCUCAUUCCAUGAUGUAAAGGAGAAACUCAAAGGAGAACAAAAAACUACUUCAAAAGCAAAGCAUGAUUCUGGGUCUCUUCCCCAGAAAGAGGCUGUAAUGCUUAUUCAAAAUGACUGUAUGAAGAAGGAAACAAUUAUCAGCAUUCCUGACAGUACAAUGCAUAUUGAUCAUAUUCAACAAUUCAGUUAUAUAACAGUUUAAUUAAAAGGCAUUCUCUAUCCAAAUACCGAAAGAUUCCUGAAUAUUCCAAACACUGAGAAGCAAAAACUUUAUCUGAAACGCAAAGAAACCACAUGGAUGCUGAGCUGGAAAAGUAAAAUGAAUCAGAAUCUCAACCAGCUGCUUUUAAACCACCCCCAGAAAAGGUUCUCAAUUCUCAAACCAAAACCAAAACGCGUAUCAAAACUAAGGUAAAAGUAGCUGUAGAUUUGAAAAGAUAGAUGAAUAAAAUUUCAUAGUUCUAUUCCUUAAAUUAUGACCAACAAUGUGAAGGAAUUUGGCAACUUGUUCUUCUACAUUACUAUGUGCAAUAUUUCUAAGACGACCUGUUCCCCGAAGAAUGUUUACUAGUCUUGCGAAUGCAUCCUUUCCCAUAUGUAGUUGAUUAUAACAAUCUUCAUUAUCCAUUAGUGUAAGUCUUUCCAUCAAAGCAUGUCGUUCAUAAUCUCCUUCAUUAGAGAUUGAUCUCUCCAAAUAGUUUGAGCGAUGAUAAACUGAAACAAGAAUUGCCGCAUAUGCAGCAUACAUAGCUACACAAGUUGCAGCCCAUCUUCUAAGUCUUUGCCAUUCUUCAUUAUAAGUCUACAUGAUAGCAAAGUAAGAGGAAUGAUUUAGUAAAGUCAUUAGGUAAAGUAAGAGGAAUUGAAGUAUUAUGAUUUCUAGCUAUGAAAAUUUCGAGGAAAAUAUUGCAUGAAAAUUAAGGGAUGUUUCUGCCCACUAGUUCUUUUCUUGAUGUUAAUUGCAACAUGGCUCUGCUAUAUAAUGUUGGAACAAGGAGACAAAACUGCCUGGUUCUAUGAAUCAAGACACUGAAUUAAUUGGACCUUUUUACUUAAUGUUGAACAGUUUUUAAAAUUUGUACUUAAUGGGCUAGGCUUAGAGUGAAUAUGUGUGAGUUAGUGUGUGGCUUUGUGAGCUACAUUUAAUCCAUUAAGAAUGUAGAAGUUGCUGCCAAAGACUAGAGAAGAAGUUGUUGUAAAGAAAAUUUCCCACAAUUCCAAGCAGGGAGUGAAGGAGUUUGUUGCAGAGAUUGCAAGCCUAGGAAAGCUGAGGCACAGGCACUUGGUUCAUCUCCAAGGUUGGUGUAAGCGAAAAGGCGAUCUCCUUCUUGUUUAUGAUUAUAUGUCCAAUGGCAGCCUGGACACCUUCCUGUUUCAAGAAGACAAGAACCUGGAUUGGGGACAGAGGUUCAGGAUCCUCAAGGAGAUUGCUGCAGGCCUCCUAUAUUUACAUGAAGAAUGGGAUUUUAGCAUGUUGUUAGGGCUUUUAGCAUGGGUAGGCUUGAUACAUAUGGAUUAUUAUCUAAGAAUUUAAGCUAUUAGAUUAAAGAAGCCUGUUUUUUAUAAAAUGAAGCUUUUAUAUACAUGGGGGGAAGAAGAGAUUAUAUUCUUGAUAACCAAAACAGAGUGUGACUGUAUUACAAUUUCUCGAAAGAGUCACCAACAAGUGCAGAUUUUUUUUUAUUUUAUCAGAUUGAGUUUUCAGGUUUUUGGAAAGGGUGAACUUAUAUUUCCCAAGUGCAUGUUUAAAUGAAGUCUUUUGAGAAUAUCAAACAGUUCAUACUCCUUUUCAUUAUUUCAGUAGUAUGUGUUCAUGUUAUUUCCCAACUUCUUCAUGGUCAACCUGAAUAAGAUUAGUGCAAUUGUGCAAUCCCUUAUAUUGGCAGUUAAAAUUUACAAAUGACUGAACAUCUAUGAUAAACCUAUCCUACCUAUUUGGAACUUCAUGAUACUAACAUAUGCACACAUUUUUUUAUACGUACAAAUAGCCACCAGAAAAAAAUAUUUUUGGGUGAUGUUGCAAUCACCCUUCCAUAAUUUAGAUUAUAAAACUAGCUGGCAAAAAGUUCCAUCAUAAUCCAUCCUUUUAUCCACAACAAUAUACUCUCUGAGACACCAAAAUUGAAAGAGGUUCUGAUUCUUUCCCAUGUAAAAGUAUGCUUCUGCAAGUCCCCCAAGUCCCAGCAUGGCCCUCUAGCAGAAAGUGCCUUGGCACCCAAAUGCUAGUCCCACAAAACUACCUGUUGGUUGCAACUAAUUUACCCACUUGGGUGUUGCAGCUACCCAAAUGUUACUUCUAAAUAAGGGUUACUAGGGUUAGGGAAAGACUCUUUAAUGUGCAUUAGGCUAACACCCCUGCUCACAUUGGACCCCAAUCUGCAUGUUGAGAGGGAAAAUUCAAUAUGCAUACUCUAAGAAUUGGAGUUUUAACAACAUGUAAUGUUGGAUUGUAAAACCUAAAUCAGUCUUGUUGUGUCACGUAUUUUUGUCAUCCUAUUGACAGACCAAAAGAAAAAAGGUUCAGAAGUCAUCAAGUUGUAUAAAUGAAAGACUAAAAAACUUGUAUCAGAUGAACAGGAAAUUAAUGUUGUUAGCCGGAGAAGGGAAGGAGAUUUGCUUCACCAAUGAUUUGAGGCCUUGGACUAGAAAAUUUGGAAGUAUUGCAGAGGAAAAGUUGAGGUGCCAUCAUGAAUAGGACGUAAGGUUCACAUGAGUUCAAACCAAACUGACAGAAGGUCCUUUAUGUUGGCUCUUGCUUAUAUUAGUUCUUAUAUUAGUUCUUGUAAAAUCGUCUUGGAUGUCAUCAUGAAUUUUCGCCAUUUUAUCUAGCUAGCUAGAUACUGCUGCAUUGGAACUCCCUUCCAGAAGUAAAGAAAUUAACAUAGAAAAUACAUAAGUUCUUUCUUCAUUGUAGUUCCUGUUCUCCUACUUCUGCCUGUUGUCUAAUUGGUUUUCGAGUUGUCUAAACAAUUCAUUGUAGCCCUCACACCCUAAAUCAGUGGCUUAAGAUUCCAAACUUGGUUAUUUAAGAUUGAUUUCAUAGGAUGCAAUAAUUUCCUAACAAUUUAGAUAUAAAAAAGAAUUAAGCAAAAUGGGCCAUUUUUAUGCUUGGUACAAUCAAAUACAUAUGUAAAGUUAGCAAUAUAAAGUAAAUAGAAUAGGUAAGAUAAAUUAACACAAUUCAUAAAGAUCAAGACAUCAAUGAGAAGGAAAAAAAUCACAAGCUAUAAUCUCCUUGAAUCUUUCGCAACUAAAAAUUAAUGGAGCAUAAUGAAUUUAUUUAUUUAUUUUUCAAUCAAGUGAAAGGUCCCAGAACCUCCACCAGAGAACAUGCAGUUGGGUUGUGGACGUCUACUCCCUUACGACUUCAUGAGCUAAUUAAUAUGAGCAGGUGGCAGUGUAUAUGUUGGAAAAAGGGGAUGAAUGAAAUUAAGUAAAUCCAUUGAAUUAAGUAAAUUCAUUCAUUUUUCUCGAAUUCUAAGAGUCUCAAGAAGCCAAAUUCAUUUUGGCUUUCUGAACCUAUCUGUGUUCUUCCCUCCUUGAAGUCUAUAAGUAGUGGUAGACUUUCUUUCAAAAACUACAUAAAAACUUUGGAGUAUUGUUAGAGUGUUGAAGAGUUCCUUCCUUCCGUGUCCGUGAUAGAGUUGAACAAUUUCCAGUUCGCCGGAGUGGCUGCAGAGUGUUGUUGUUGUCAUUCGAAGAUCGUUUUAUCCUGGGAGACAGACGUCUUGCGAUUCUCAAAUCACCUGUGGAGAAAGCGAAUCUGUUUUAAGGAGAUUGUGUUUUCCACAAGACUCGGUCUAAUCUUCUUCCUUAAUUCUCUGUUUUUUUUUUUCCAGUUUUCUUUUAUUUUCUUAUGAACUAACCAGUGUGUGCAGUGUGGUUGUAGAUAACAUUCUUAAAACAGAUUUUUUUCAAAGGAAAACCAGUGGUUGGUGAAAAAAAAAAAACAAAUCUGGAAAAAAAAAAAUUUUCAAAUUUGUGUUUUUUUUUAGAAGGAAAAAAAAAAAAACAACCAUUUGUUACAAAAAGAAGUUUCGAACUUUUAACUUGAGCCCUUUUUCUCAUGCUCAACUCAAUAAGACACCAUUGGACUGUGACUCAUGUUUUUUUUAUUAUGGGAAAAAUACCUUCUUAUAAAGUUUGUACCAAGUCUUUUGAAAAUUUGGAAAUUAUGAUACAGAGAAGUUCUGUCUAAGGUAAUUGGAAUUUAAGCGGGACCAUUUGUCACCCCUCCAAUUUCCUGGGAACUGAAUAUUCUGUCUAAGGAAGCUAGUCCUGAUCUGGGUCAUUAUACCCCACUAGUCUUUCCUGGGAAUACUCUGUAAAGUGAUUUUCAGUUUUUUGAAGUUUUUUUUUUUUGAAAAAAAAAAAAAAAAAAAAAGGAAAAAGAAAUUGACACAUUUUCUUGGAUGGUUCAGGAAAAUGACAACUGAAUCCGAUAACGUUGUUGUAACUGAAUUAGCCCCAGUGGCAAACCCUACUGUGGCCCAAGUGCCAGCGAUGCCUACUGCUGUACCAAUCUCUGUCUCACCAGGAGAAAAACCAGAGAAGUUCAGUGGACUAAAUUUUAAAAGGUGGCAACAAAAGAUGUUAUUCUAUUUGACCACGUUGAAUCUUGCAAGAUUCUUGACUGAGGAUGCUCCUAAGCUCAAAGAAGACGAGCACGAUAUCCAAGUCAUCAGUGCUAUAGAUGCUUGGAAACAUUCUGACUUCUUGUGUAGAAAUUAUGUCAUGAAUGGUUUAGCUGAUUCGUUGUACAAUGUUUAUUCUGACAAGAAAAUAGCUAAGGAGCUAUGGGAAUCUCUAGACCGGAAAUAUAAAACUGAGGAUGCCGGGGCUAAGAAAUUUGUUGUGGGUCGCUUCCUCGACUAUAAGAUGGUAGAUUCCAAGACUGUGGUAAGUCAAGUCCAAGAACUUCAAGUAAUCUUGCAUGAGAUACAUGCUGAGGGAAUGAUGUUGAGUGAAACUUUCCAAGUAGCAGCUAUUAUUGAGAAACUACCCCCUGCUUGGAAAGAUUUUAAGAAUUGCCUCAAGCACAAAAGAAAGGAAAUGAGCAUCGAGGAUCUAAUUAUUAGACUUCGCAUUGAAGAAGAUAAUAGAAGAUCUGAAAAGAAAGGGGUGCACACUCUAAAUGAGGCCAAGGCUAACUUUGUGGAACAUGGUCAAAGUUCCAAGGCAAAGACGAACAACAACAAAGGGAAAGGAUCUAAGUUGGGACCUAAAGGAGGGAUCUCAAAGAAGCCGAAAUUUCAAGGGAAAUGCUUCAAUUGUGGUAAGCAAGGUCACAAGUCUGUUGAUUGUAGACUACCCAAAAAGAAUAAACCUAAGGAAGCUAAUGUGAUUGACAACAUCACUAAAAAUGUUUCUAACAUUGACCUCACAGCAGUAGUCUCUGAGGUGAACUUGGUGGGUUCUAACCCAAAGGAAUGGUGGAUUGAUACUGGUGCUACUCGCCAUGUAUGCUCUGAUAAGAAAAUGUUCUCCACUUUUGAACCAAUUGAGAAUGGGGAAAAAGUGUUCAUGGGGAACUCUACCACCUCUGAGAUCAAGGGUCAAGGUAAAGUAAUCUUGAAGAUGACUUCUGGGAAAGAGUUGACUCUGACCAAUGUUUUAUAUGUACCGGAAAUUCGCAAGAACUUGGUGUCUGGUUCAUUGCUGAAUAAUCAUGGAUUUCGGUUGGUCUUUGAGUCAAACAAAUUUGUUUUGUCCAAGAGUGGAAUGUAUGUUGGGAAAGGGUAUAUGAGUGAUGGAAUGUGGAAACUCAAUGUAAUGACUAUUAUUAAGUCAAAUAUGAAUAAAGCUAGUACUUCUACUUACAUGCUUGAGUCUUCUAAUCUAUGGCAUGGUAGAUUAGGACAUGUUAAUUAUGAUACAUUACGUAGAUUAAUUAACUUAAAUCAUAUACCAACAUUCCAAAUUAAUUCCAACCAUAAAUGUGAAACUNNNNNNNNNNNNNNNNNNNNNNNNNNNNNNNNNNNNNNNNNNNNNNNNNNNNNNNNNNNNNNNNNNNNNNNNNNNNNNNNNNNNNNNNNNNNNNNNNNNNUUGACAUUUGUGCUCAACAUGGGAUUAUACACGAAACAACAGCACCUUAUUCGCCUCAAUCCAAUGGAGUGGCUGAGCGAAAGAAUCGUACCUUAAAGGAAAUGAUGAAUGCAAUGUUAAUAAGUUCUAGUUUGCCACAAAACAUGUGGGGAGAAGCCAUUUUAACUGCUAAUUACCUUUUGAAUAAGGUACCCAAAAAGAAAGCAGAAAAGACUCCAUAUGAGUUAUGGAAAGGAAGAAAGCCAUCCUACACAUACUUACGAAUGUGGGGAUGUCUUGCUAAAGUGGCAGUUUCUCCACCUAAAAAGGUGAAAAUAGGACCUAAGACUAUUGAUUGCAUUUUCAUUGGCUAUGCACAUAAUAGUAAUGCUUAUCGGUUUCUUGUUUAUGAAUCAAAUAUCCCAGAUAUUCAUAAGAACACGAUAAUGGAAUCAAGGAAUGCAUCAUUCUUUGAAGAUGUAUUUCCAUGUAAAUCCAAAGAAGAGCCAAGUUCAUCAAAAAGAAUGCUUAAGAGUCAGGAUCAAAAUGAAGAAGUUGAGGUAGAACCUAGACGUAGCAAAAGGGUAAGGACAGAAAAGUCUUUUGGUCCAGAUUUUCUAAAUUUUAUGCUUGAAGGCGAACCUCAAACUUUUAAAGAGGCAGUGAACUCUACAGAAGGUCUUAUGUGGAAAGAGGCCAUUAAGAGUGAAAUUGAUUCCAUAUUGCAAAACCAUACUUGGGAACUAGUGGAUCUUCCGCCAGGUUGUAAACCUUUAAGUUCCAAGUGGAUUUUCAAGAGAAAGAUGAAAGUAGAUGGAUCAAUUGACAAGUAUAAAGCAAGACUUGUAAUCAAAGGCUACAGACAAACUGAAGGCCUAGAUUAUUUUGACACAUAUUCUCCUGUGACGAGAAUAAAUUCCAUAAGGAUGGUACUUGCAAUUGCUGCAUUGAGAAAUCUUGAAAUAUAUCAAAUGGAUGUAAAAACAGCCUUUCUAAAUGGAGAUUUAGAUGAAGAAAUCUAUAUGGAGCAACCUGAGGGUUUUUCAGCUCCAGGACAAGAAAAGAAAGUUUGUAAACUGGUAAAAUCUUUGUAUGGCUUAAAACAAGCAUCGAAACAAUGGCAUGAAAAAUUUGACAAUGUUAUGCUGUCACAUGGCUUCAAAAUCAAUGAAUGUGACAAGUGUGUUUAUGUCAAGGAUACAGAACAUGGAUAUGUCAUUGUAUGUUUGUAUGUAGAUGACAUGCUUAUUGUUGGUAGUGAUGAUAAGAUGAUCACAUCUACAAAGAACAUGUUGAAUUCAAGGUUUGACAUGAAAGACAUGGGACUUGCUGAUGUUAUAUUGGGAAUAAAAAUCAAAAGAACAUCAGAUGAACUCAUAUUAAGUCAGUCACAUUAUGUAGACAAAAUUCUUGGAAAGUUUGAUAAAGAUAAUUCUGGAGUUGCUAGAACACCGAUGGAUGUAACUCUACAUUUGUCCAAUAAUAAAGGUGAGAGUGUUUCUCAAGUAGAAUACUCUAGAGUAAUAGGCAGUCUAAUGUACUUAAUGAGUUGUACAAGACCAGACAUAGCCUAUGCGGUUAGUAAACUGAGUAGAUAUACGAGUAAUCCCGGAGCCAAGCAUUGGCAAGGAAUUAUAAGAGUACUAAAGUACUUACGGUUUACUCGUGAUUAUGGGCUGCACUAUACGAGAUAUCCUGCUGUACUUGAAGGAUAUAGUGAUGCGAAUUGGAUAUCUAAUGUUAAAGACUCAAAAUCCCAUAGUGGUUAUGUGUUUACACUAGGAGGUGCAGCAGUGUCGUGGAAAUCCUAAAAAAAAUGGUUAUUGCCAGAUCCACAAUGGAAUCUGAAUUUAUAGCACUAGAUAAAUGUGGGGAAGAGGCUGAAUGGUUACGCCACUUCCUAGAGGAUAUUCCAAGGUGGUCAAAGCCUGUGUCUCCAAUUUGCAUACAUUGUGAUAGUCAAUCUGCAAUUGGUAGAGCACAGAGUAAUAUGUAUAAUGGUAAGUCUAGACACAUUCGUCGUAGACACAAUACCAUUAGACAACUACUCUCAACUGGGGUUAUCUCUGUGGACUAUGUGAAAUCCAAAGAUAACAUUGCGGAUCCACUAACCAAAGGGUUAAAUAGAGAGUUAGUUGAAAAGUCAUCAAGGGGAAUGAGACUAAAGCCCAUAAAAGAAUAAGUCAAUACAGUGGAUACCCAACCUAGUUGACUGGAGAUCCCGAGAUCUAGGUUCAAAAGGGACAACUAAACUGUAAAGACUUUGUUAAAUCACUGUGGGGAUCUUCCCUAGUCCAUUCCUAUGAUAAAAUAGUGAUGCCUGUAAGAGGAAAGGGUAAGCUAUGCUUUUAAUGAUCCUUAUGCUUCGGAAAUCCGAACAGAGUAAUGCGGGUUACUCGUGAUUAAGAGAUCACCUAUGUAAGAGUGAAGUGGGGCCGCUUCUAAGGGAAUUGAAUAAGGCACAAUUCUUAUUAAACUCUUACAGAACCAGGCGUAUGUUCAUGGCCAAAAUGAACAUAAAAGUGAGAACUGAAAUAUGUUAGGAAGAUUCCUGUGUGAGAUAUGUCAUCAUCUACAUAAAUGGCAGAACAGUUCAAGGACAUCGUGUCUACUGUUUAGCUAGUAGAGUAAACAUAUUUCUACAAGGGAAGGUUCAAAGGGUAACACCUACCUCUCCUAUGCAGGUUUCAACCGUUGUACUCUUUCACAAAGUUCAUCGUGUCUUAAUUUCUUUCAUGUGGGGAAUUGUUGGAAAAAGGGGAUGAAUGAAAUUAAGUAAAUCCAUUGAAUUAAGUAAAUUCAUUCAUUUUUCUCGAAUUCUAAGAGUCUCAAGAAGCCAAAUUCAUUUUGGCUUUCUGAACCUGUCUGUGUUCUUCCCUCCUUGAAGUCUAUAAAUAGUGGUAAACUUUCUUUCAAAAAGUACAGAAAAACUUUGGAGUAUUGUCAGAGUGUUGAAGAGUUCCUUCCUUCCGUGUCCGUGAUAGAGUUGAACAAUUUCCAGUUUGCCGGAGUGGCUGCAGAGUGUUGUUGCUACCAUUCGAAGAUCGUUUUAUCCUGGGAGAUAGACGCCUUGCGAUUCUCAAAGCACCUGUGGAGAAGGCGAAUCUGUUUUAAGGAGAUUGUGUUUUCCACAAGACUCGGUCUAAUCUUCUUCCUUAAUUCUCUGUUUUUUUUUUUCCAGUUUUCUUUUAUUUUCUUAUGAACUAACCAGUGUGUGCAGUGUGGUUGUAUCUAACAGUAUAAUCCAAGUCCAGCAACAUGAGAAUUAGUCCAGCCCUAUCCUUACACCUUUUGAAUUCCCAAUUCAACCUCGUGUUUCCCGGAAAAUCAUAUAUUACUGACAAUAAAUAAGUAAUAAACAUUUUCAAUCUUAUCGGAAGGCUAAUAACAACAACACAUGAUACCCAAAAUUACAAAUUAUCAUUUCUUCAUAUUAACAUUCAAAGUUGCAAUUAACAAUAAAGAGAAUCAAAACCCUAAUAAUAUUCAAAAUCCCCAUUCUGAAACAUGAAAUCAUUGGUCCAUAAAGCCCUAAGAAAUAACUCAAAUCGAAUUCAAACCCUCAUUUGAAGGGGAAAAAAAAAUAAAAAGCAAAUAUCAAUCCAAACAAACUCGAAAUUCCCAUUGGAAACCUUAAACCCUAAUUUCUAGUCAGUUGUAUGGAAAAGGCUGAAUGAGGGAAAGAGAUCAUAAAAUUAAACCAACAUCAAACACAGAGAUGAUGUGAGGUUAAGAGAAAAGAGUUCAAUUCAUACCUGACUUGAAGACAUGGAUCCGUCAUCCAUGGGAACUUGAUUUGAAGAACGCACUUCAUCAAUGGGAACUCGAGUGCCUGAAAUUGGUAGGUUUUCAGAGGCACUCGAAGGUGGUCGGAGUGAUAGUGGUGGCCGUUGAAAGGGUUUGACGACUUUGAGAAGCCAUAGCCACUGACGAAGAGGAAGUUAGAGAUGAAGCUUCGGUGAACAAGAGCCGACAAAAUUUUCCUCCUCUUUUCCCUGCUCUUUUUCUCUUAUAUUUUCCACGUUAUUUUUUAAGGAAAAUAGUGAGGAAAAUAUUACAAUAUUUUCUUUAAUAUUUUCCUUCAUAUUUUUUUUCCAUUGUAUUUUCUAUGUCAUCCAAACUAAAAAAAAUCAUUUUCCUUUAUAU
rnacentral:lncRNA from 1 species